rnacentral:rRNA from 1 species
ACGCACGCUGGCGGCGUGCUUAACACAUGCCAGUCGAACGGAAAGGCCCUGCUUUUGUGGGGUGCUCGAGUGGCGAACGGGUGAGUAACACGUGAGUAACCUGCCCUUGACUUUGGGAUAACUUCAGGAAACUGGGGCUAAUACCGGAUAGGAGCUCCUGCUGCAUGGUGGGGGUUGGAAAGUUUCGGCGGUUGGGGAUGGACUCGCGGCUUAUCAGCUUGUUGGUGGGGUAGUGGCUUACCAAGGCUUUGACGGGUAGCCGGCCUGAGAGGGUGACCGGCCACAUUGGGACUGAGAUACGGCCCAGACUCCUACGGGAGGCAGCAGUGGAGAAUAUUGCACAAUGGGCGGAAGCCUGAUGCAGCAACGCCGCGUGCGGGAUGACGGCCUUCGGGUUGUAAACCGCUUUCGCCUGUGACGAAGCGUGAGUGACGGUAAUGGGUAAAGAAGCACCGGCUAACUACGUG